rnacentral:rRNA from 1 species
AGCGUUGUUCGGAAUUACUGGGCGUAAAGCGCGCGCAGGCGGUUUUCCAAGUCAGUGGUGAAAGCCCGGAGCUCAACUCCAGAACUGCCUUUGAUACUGGCGAUCUUCGAGUCCGGGAGAGGUGAGUGGAACUCCGAGUGUAG